rnacentral:lncRNA from 1 species
AAACAGACUCUACCUGCAAGCAAGCCAGCCGUGUAGAUGACUAUUUCGUCCAUAAAUAAUAUUAAUAAGCUAUUGUAUUGGUUCGUACCACUGAUCUCUACGGAAACCGUACCCGACUUUAAACUGCUGACUUCUGAUCUUCUGUUGGAUAUAGAUCUCAUUCUCGAGGAGAAGUAAAUCCAAAACGGCUUAUAAAUCAUCAUGGCCAGUGCUGCUCAAAGCCUCUCUGGAUUCCUGAGAACUUUGAGCAAAGUUAGUACCAGGUGUUACAGAAUAACUUAUCCUCUACUGCAAAGUCCAAUUUCACGUUGCCUUGGAACCUGGAAUCUGACAAGAAGACAUGGCAAGUUGACUGCACAGUCUUGGACCAAGAGAUUAUCAGCUUCGGAUAGCCCAAGUGGUUUGGGCUCUGCUCACAUCACAACCCCAGUACCACUUCUCCAGCUUGUCAACACUAUGAAGAAGAAGUCUGCUAUCAAACGACGAUGUAAAGAUUGCAAGGUAGUUAUUAAGGACAAGAGAGCAUACGUCAUAUGCAAGACGUCACCGAGACACAACCAAGUCCAGGGAUAGUGAAAAAUGCAUCAUGAAAAGAAAUGGACUUCAGCCGUUACAUACAUGUCAUUUCAGUAAGAGAUUUGAGAAGAAAACAUGUGCAGGUGUUAUAAUCAAGGCUUUAUCUAUGUUGAUCACAAGUUGGUUGGAUGAAAUAAUCAUCAAAAACUCUUGGAUAUGUGAUCCAACAAACAGUAAUUGAUGUACACGCAGAUGCAAUGAUUUAAGAUUUGAACAGAUGAGUGUGCAAAUGCAAUUAUUUUUCUUUAAAUGAUCUGUAUUUGACUAUUUGUAAAUGAUUGUACUACUGUUAUGAUUGAAUUGUUGUCUAGGGAUGCAUUAUGAAUGUGCAGAAGGGGUCAGAUAUAUCCAAUCAAUCAUCAACUAUGUCCAGAAUUUGACACUGAACAAAUUACCAAAAGACGUCUAAUAGCAUUUGUUUACUCUAAAAAAAGAAGGAAAAAUAGAGAGGCAGACUGGUGAGAGUUUGAACAAACUGGACAAAAAAUAAGGAAGUUAUGAAUUUUUGGACAAAAUGAUGUACAUGUUGUUGCAUUCAUUGCCAUUAAGUAAACAUCAUUUCCCUUGGCCUACAUUUAUUGAUGCUAGUUUCACUUUUGCUUUCAUAACAUGAUUUCCAAGAUUACAAACUGGAGUGUUUAGAGGUUUUCAUUGAAAAUGUGCAUAUCUACAUGUAGUUUAUACAUUGUGUAUGUUGGAAUGUCCAAUACUGUAUAUCUUGUCCAAUAAAUUACCAUGUAUGCUAAAACAAUCUUUGGUUUACCAGACUACAGCUUAUAGUGCUACUACAGUGUGGAUCACACCAAUAUGAAUACAAAUUGAACUAUUGAUGUUAAUUAUGUAGCUAAUUAGAUUUUACUUUGUUAAUUGUGGAACUUAACAUAUAAAUUACUUUUAAAUGGCCCUUGUAGAUCACUACUAGCUGUUCUUAUGUUAACACUGUUGAUCCCACCACCCUCACAACACAUUUGUAGUCGAUUACAUGAUUCCCAAAACAAAAGCAAAAGAGCAAAACAUCCCAAUUUUAGAAGAAAUACCUGUCAAUGUGCACUCAGUGAUGGUAGGGAAGUUAUUGCUCAUCUAUGAGACACUCAUUCAUCAUAUUAUGUUUGAAAAAUUAUUUAUCAGACAUACUAGAUAUCAUUUCUUUAUCGAUCUUGUAGAUUGUAUAUCUUCUGCAAAACACAUGUAUUCUUUGGAACAAUAAAGUGAUAUGAUUCAUUUGUCUACAUUUUAAAA